AUGCACAAACCUACGUUGCACUGUAAUGCAAAAACACAGUCAUUCAUAAGUCAAAUAUAUUUCUUUAUAACAAUUACUGUUGUUUUAAUAUUUUCUAAAACAUUUUACCAUUACAUUUUGUUUUUUUCAGUCUGUGUUCAUGUGUCAGGAUAGACGAAUGCUUCCACAUUCAGAGGUUUCUUCCUGUCAAUCACUUCUGGUUUGCUGAAGACAAUUAAUCCAAUCCAAUUUUAUUUAUAAAGCACUUUAAAAUACCCAGCACAGGAACAAAGUGCUGUACAGAAAAUAAGUUAAAACAAUAGAAUAACAGAAAACAGCAAAAUAAAUAAAUAAAACACAUAAAAUAUAAAAUUAAAACAGCCCUAUAUUAAAACAAAAACAAGAUAAAACAGCAUCGAAUCACCUAAAAACAACAGAAAUAAAAAUAAAAUCAAAGGCCAGGGUAAAGAGGUGGGUUUUCAAGAGUGACUUAAAAACAGAUAAAGAACUGGCCUGUCUAAUCUCUAAAGGAAGCUCGUUCCACAGUUUGGGAGCUGCUACAGCAAAAGCACGAUCUCCUCUAAGUUUACACCCAGUCCUGGGUAUCUUCAGGAGCAGCUGAUCAGCUGACCUGAGAGAGCGGGUGGGUGUAUAAGGCUGUAGCAGCUCAGAGAGAUAAGAUGGAGCUAGGCCAUGGAGAGCUUUAAAACAAUAAAGCUGUGUGUUUUGAAUUACUUCCGCCUCAGUGAGUCCUGCAUUUUGGGUCCUCUCUUCCUGCCUGCCUACACACAGACAUGACACUUUGACCUCCAGGGAGUGCUGAGGAGGGUCUAACAUGAAGUCACAGCCGUGCUCUCCUGACAAGAUGUGGCUCAUCUUCUCACAUUUGUACAGCUUUUGGGAUGUCAGGGUGCUGCACUCAUCAAUGCAUUUGACUUCAUCAACUUCAACUUCGUCUUCAGGUGAUCCAGGUGAUUGAUAUAUGUAUUUUUUAUCUGCUUAUUUUGUUGUUUUUUGCCCUUUAUUCCCGUCCCUCUUCUCCGCUGUUUUUCUUUCCCUCUUUCUUUCUCCCCUUCUUUCCCCCAGUCAAGUCUGUCUCGUAUUUAGCAAGUGAAAAUAAAAUAAACAAUAAAAGUUGAAUCAAAUAGACCAUUGCGGCAAGGCUGGGAUGGUCAAUUUGGUAAAGUAAAUCCGUUGGGCAUCUUUCUUUGCCUUUAGACAAUAAUUCUGAUGGAAAAAGAACCAAAUGGGACAGGCAAAAAAAAAAAAAAAAAAGAAAAAAAAAAAGAAAAUAUACCCAACAGAUGUUAAUUUGCAUGUUACAUUCAUGAUACAGUUCUGUGCAAGUACGUCUAAUGUCAUUAUAGAUUAUUUAGAAAAUGUGAAACUGGUGAUUCAUUGUAAUGUGUAAAAAUACAUGGACGCACAGGAAACAAGGCAAAGAGAGAGGUUGUGUGUCCAGUUUAUUGUGAGUCAUUCAUAUUUUAUUUAUUGUUAUCAUUUAUUUUUAUUAGUUAAAUAAAAUGACGUCUGUGAACAAGCGAGAUGAAGAGGAUUUGAACUUUACUGUUACUGCAGUUUGUAUAGAGACAUGAGGGAAACAAUGCAAGGAGGAAAUGUUUCGAUUUAAGCAGGAUGAUGACAGCGAUGCUGAUCAGGUGAUGACACACAAGAAAAUGUCACUGCAGCUAAGGAGCCUCCGAGAAACUAGCUCACCCAAAACCUGCUGAACUGCAUUCCAGUUUACAGUCCAUUUGCGUGUGUCAGAGGUAAUUAAUAUUUCCACAUUCAGAGAUUCUUCCUGUCAGUCGACUCUGGAUUUUGUAAACACAGUUAAUAAUGAGAAAAAAAAAAGUCCAUGUUGAGUUUUCAUGUUCUCCUGGGUUCUCUCCAACUUCC
ensembl:lncRNA